GCGCGCCGUGUCAGGUUUGAGGGCUCCCAUCCCAGUGUCGUACGCAGUUAUGCCUAGCUCUUACUCAACUCACAGCGAGACCCCAACAGGCUCUCUCCAAGAUCUUCCAGGAACAGCUUUCUCCACUGAAAUGAUAGUGAGGAAUUAUUAGACAGCUUAGGAGUUGUUCAUCUGUUACAUUUAGAAAGUUGGAUGAGUGUGUAUCGGUAUGUUGUCUAUUCUGAUGGAGGCCUGUUUGGUCAAAAGCUUUGUUUGACACUCUUCUUGUUGUGCCUAUCUGUCACUCAAGCAUCUCCUCUAUAUGCUGUGUGGUCUGCGUAUCUGGUGGAAACACUGGUGACCCAACUUUGAUUCCCAAGCACUGCUAGGAAUUUUUCCUUGGUGGGAGAACUGAAAGAUUGUGCUUUUAGCAUCAAGAGACUAACUCAGUAACUGCCUGCUUAAAAUAAGUAGUAAAAUUGAUACACAAGCUACCAAAGACAUUUACACAUGUGUCUUGAAAGAGUAGGAAACCAAGGAUGUUAGAAUAUGUAUGACAUUUAUUGUUAAAUAACAGCUACAGUGAUGUAAUUUUUACUGUAAAGACUUAAUUCCUUGCAACUUGUUAUUGUUUCAGUUUAUCACAAACUAGCUUUUGUGUAGCUUCAACUUAUAUUAUGCUGAAAUCUAUUACAAAAAUGUUAAUAUAAAUUGCUUUUUUAUAUAUACCAACACUGUACCAAGUGCGAUAGUUAGUUAUCCUGCAGCAGCUAGCAUUUUGCCAAGGAGAACACAUUUCAUACUCCUUCAAGUUUACAUUGAAGACAUCAUAUAUUGAUA